rnacentral:rRNA from 1 species
GAUGAACGCUGGCGGCGUGCCUAAUACAUGCAAGUCGAGCGAACGGACGAGAAGCUUGCUUCUCUGAUGUUAGCGGCGGACGGGUGAGUAACACGUGGAUAACCUACCUAUAAGACUGGGAUAACUUCGGGAAACCGUAGCUAAUUCCGGAUAAUAUUUUGAACCGCAUGGUUCAAAAGUGAAAGACGGUCUUGCUGUCACUUAUAGAUGGAUCCGCGCUGCAUUAGCUAGUUGGUAAGGUAACGGCUUACCAAGGCAACGAUGCAUAGCCGACCUGAGAGGGUGAUCGGCCACACUGGAACGGAGACACGGUCCAGACUCCUACGGGAGGCAGCAGUAGGGAAUCUUCCGCAAUGGGCGAAAGCCUGACGGAGCAACGCCGCGUGAGUGAUGAAGGUCUUCGGAUCGUAAAACUCUGUUAUUAGGGAAGAACAUAUGUGUAAGUAACUAUGCACAUCUUGACGGUACCUAAUCAGAAAGCCACGGCUAACUACGUG